UACGUAGGGUGCAAGCGUUAAUCGGAAUUACUGGGCGUAAAGCGUGCGCAGGCGGUGAUGUAAGACAGUUGUGAAAUCCCCGGGCUCAACCUGGGAACUGCAUUUGUGACUGCACGGCUGGAGUGCGGCAGAGGGGGAUGGAAUUCCGCGUGUAGCAGUGAAAUGCGUAGAUAUGCGGAGGAACACCGAUGGCGAAGGCAAUCCCCUGGGCCUGCACUGACGCUCAUGCACGAAAGCGUGGGGAGCAAACAGG
rnacentral:rRNA from 1 species